CUUGGGGGAGGGGCUAACAAUGCAAGUCGAACGGUAACAGGAAACAGCUUGCUGUUUCGCUGACGAGUGGCGGACGGGUGAGUAAUGUCUGGGAAACUGCCUGAUGGAGGGGGAUAACUACUGGAAACGGUAGCUAAUACCGCAUAACGUCGCAAGACCAAAGAGGGGGACCCUCGGGCCUCUUGCCAUCGGAUGUGCCCAGAUGGGAUUAGCUUGUUGGUGGGGUAACGGCUCACCAAGGCGACGAUCCCUAGCUGGUCUGAGAGGAUGACCAGCCACACUGGAACUGAGACACGGUCCAGACUCCUACGGGAGGCAGCAGUGGGGAAUAUUGCACAAUGGGCGCAAGCCUGAUGCAGCCAUGCCGCGUGUAUGAAGAAGGCCUUCGGGUUGUAAAGUACUUUCAGCGGGGAGGAAGGGAGUAAAGUUAAUACCUUUGCUCAUUGACGUUACCCGCAGAAGAAGCACCGGCUAACUCCGUGCCAGCAGCCGCGGUAAUACGGAGGGUGCAAGCGUUAAUCGGAAUUACUGGGCGUAAAGCGCAUGCAGGCGGUUUGUUAAGUCAGAUGUGAAAUCCCCGGGCUCAACCUGGGAACUGCAUCUGAUACUGGCAAGCUUGAGUCUCGUAGAGGGGGGUAGAAUUCCAGGUGUAGCGGUGAAAUGCGUAGAGAUCUGGAGGAAUACCGGUGGCGAAGGCGGCCCCCUGGACGAAGACUGACGCUCAGUGCGAAAGCGUGGGGAGCAAACAGGAUUAGAUACCCUGAUAGUCCACGCCGUAAACGAUGUCGACUUGGAGUUGUGCCCUUGAGCGUGCUUCCGGAGCUAACGCGUUAAGUCGACCGCCUGGGGAGUACGGGCCGCCAAGGGUUUAAAC
rnacentral:rRNA from 1 species